rnacentral:rRNA from 1 species
UACGGAGGAUCCGAGCGUUAUCCGGAUUUAUUGGGUUUAAAGGGUGCGCAGGCGGAAGAUUAAGUCGGUGGUGAAAUUUUGCAGCUCAACUGUAAAAGUGCCAUUGAUACUGGUUUUCUUGAGUGUGGAUGAAGUAGGCGGAAUUUGUGGUGUAGCGGUGAAAUGCAUAGAUAUCACGAGGAACUCCGAUUGCGAAGGCAGCUUACUAAGCUACUACUGACGCUCAGGCACGAAGGCGUGGGGAUCAAACAGGAUUAGAUA